rfam:Thermosinus carboxydivorans Nor1 ctg49, whole genome shotgun sequence.
GCGCUGGUAACGGCGAGGUCUGAAGGAAGCUGCAGGGGGAACUCGGAACAUAGCGAAAGCGAACCGAUGUUGGCCGCUCAGGUGGGUAACCUUGCAUGAAGUGGGAAAGCCCGAAAGCUGAUUAACCUGAGAGGUUAGAACGGAUGCGUUCAAGUUAAGGCAAGCAAC